rnacentral:rRNA from 1 species
GAAUACCGCACCAGAUGCGGUAAAGGAGAAUUACGGCUCAGUAACACGUGGAGAACGUGCCCUUAAGUGGGGGAUAAUCUCGGGAAAUUGAGGAUAAUACCCCAUAGGUCAUGGGAUCUGGAAUGACCCAUGGCUGAAAGUUCCGGCGCUUAAGGAUCGCUCUGCGGCCUAUCAGGUAGUAGUGGGUGUAACGUACCCCCUAGCCUACGACGGGUAUGGGCCUCGAGAGAGGGAGCCCAGAGUUGGAUUCUGAGACACGAAUCCAGGCCCUACGGGGCGCAGCAGUCGCGAAAACUUCACACUGGGGGGAACCCCGAUGAGGGAAUUCCUAGUGCUUGGGCAUUUGUCCAAGCUUUUCCCGAGCGUAGAUAACUCGGGGAAUAAGGGCUGGGUAAGACGGGUGCCAGCCGCCGCGGUAAUACCUGCAGCCCGAGUGGUGGUCGAUUUUAUUGAGUCUAAAGCGUUCGUAGCCGGUCCGUUAAAUCCUUGGGUAAAUCGGGAAGCUCAACUUUCCGACUUCCGAGGAGACUGGCGGACUUGGGACCGGGAGAGGCCAGAGGUACUUCUGGGGUAGGGGUAAAAUCCUGUAAUCCUAGAAGGACCACCGGUGGCGAAGGCGUCUGGCUAGAACGGAUCCGACGGUGAGGGACGAAGCCCUGGGUCGCAAACGGGAUUAGAUACCCCGGUAGUCCAGGGUGUAAACGCUGCCGACUUGGUGUUGGGGGCCCUUCGGGGGAACUCAGUGCCGGAGAGAAGUUGUUAAGUCGGCCACUUGGGGAGUACGUCCGCAAGGAUGAAACUUAAAGGAAUUGGCGGGGGAGCACAAUCUCAUCGUUCUU